rnacentral:RNase_P_RNA from 1 species
UUUUAUAAUGUAGAGGAAAGUCCAUGCUCACACCGAUCUGCGAUGACGGUAGUGUUUGUGUAUAAGGAAAAAAUAACUUAUAGUAGAGCAAUCUAACGGCGGCGAAUUAUCCUAAAGGUAACUAUGGGUAUAGUAGCUAUAAAAGUGCCACAGAAACGAGUUUUUCUUGAAAAAGAAAAAAUGAAACGAGGUAAACCCCGCAAGUGAGAAACCCAAAAUUGGUAGGGGAACUCUUGAAGAGGAAUUGAACGAAUCAAGGGAUGAGCAAUCAUAGAUAAAUGUUUAUCACCAAGUAAUUGGUACAAAACAUGGCUUAU